rnacentral:tRNA from 1 species
GGGCUUGUAGCUCAGUUGGGAGAGCGCCUGCUUUGCAAGCAGAGGGUCGUCGGUUCGAGUCCGACCUGGUCCACCA